UAGGGAAUCUUCGGCAAUGGACGAGAGUCUGACCGAGCAACGCCGCGUGGGUGAAGAAGGUUUUCGGAUCGUAAAACUCUGUUGGUAGAGAAGAACGUUGGUGAGAGUGGAAAGCUCAUCAAGUGACGGUAACUACCCAGAAAGGGACGGCUAACUACGUGCCAG
rnacentral:rRNA from 1 species